AGCAGUAGCUCAAGAUUAGAGCAUUGGUCUUGUAAAUCAAAGGUUGGGCAUUUAGCCCCUGCUACUAG
rnacentral:tRNA from 1 species